GACAGAGGGUGCAAACGUUGUUCGGAAUUACUGGGCGUAAAGCGCGUGUAGGCGGCUUGGCAAGUCGGGUGUGAAAGCCCUGGGCUCAACCUAGGAAGUGCACUCGAAACUGCCUCGCUCGAGUAUCGGAGAGGAAAGCGGAAUUCUCGGUGUAGAGGUGAAAUUCGUAGAUAUCGAGAGGAACACCGGUGGCGAAGGCGGCUUUCUGGACGGUUACUGACGCUGAGACGCGAAAGCGUGGGGAGCAAACAGG
rnacentral:rRNA from 1 species